rnacentral:rRNA from 1 species
AAACUAGGAUUAGAUACCCUAUUAUUAUAUUUAAAUUUAUAUUAUUAAGGUAUUAUUUGUUAAGAUCAUGAAACCUAAAAAAUUUGGCGGUAUUUUAGUCUAUUCAGAGGAACCUGUUCUAUAAUCGAUAAUCCACGAUGGACCUUACUUAAAUUUGUAAUCAAUUUAUAUACCGUUGUUAAUAAAUAUUUUAUUAGAAAAUUAAUAUUUAAUAUAUUUAAUAAAAAUAUAUAUCAAAUCAAGGUGUAGUUUAUAUUUAAGUAGAAAUGGGUUACAAUAAAUUUAUUUAUAUGAAUAUAAAUUUGAAAUUUUUAUUGAAAGUGGAUUUGAUAGUAAAUUUAUAAAGAUUAAUAAAUUGAUUUUAGCUCUAAAAUAUGUACACAUCGCCCGUCGCUCUCAUU